AGCGAACGGACGAGAAGCUUGCUUCUCUGAUGUUAGCGGCGGACGGGUGAGUAACACGUGGAUAACCUACCUAUAAGACUGGGAUAACUUCGGGAAACCGGAGCUAAUACCGGAUAAUAUUUUGAACCGCAUGGUUCAAAAGUGAAAGACGGUCUUGCUGUCACUUAUAGAUGGAUCCGCGCUGCAUUAGCUAGUUGGUAAGGUAACGGCUUACCAAGGCAACGAUGCAUAGCCGACCUGAGAGGGUGAUCGGCCACACUGGAACUGAGACACGGUCCAGACUCCUACGGGAGGCAGCAGUAGGGAAUCUUCCGCAAUGGGCGAAAGCCUGACGGAGCAACGCCGCGUGAGUGAUGAAGGUCUUCGGAUCGUAAAACUCUGUUAUUAGGGAAGAACAUAUGUGUAAGUAACUGUGCACAUCUUGACGGUACCUAAUCAGAAAGCCACGGCUAACUACGUGCCAGCAGCCGCGGUAAUACGUAGGUGGCAAGCGUUAUCCGGAAUUAUUGGGCGUAAAGCGCGCGUAGGCGGUUUUUUAAGUCUGAUGUGAAAGCCCACGGCUCAACCGUGGAGGGUCAUUGGAACGGAAACUGAGUGCAGAAGAGGAAAGUGGAUUCCAUGUGUAGCGGUGAAAUGCGCAGAGAUAUGGAGGAACACCAGUGGCGAAGGCGACUUUCUGGUCUGUAACUGACGCUGAUGUGCGAAAGCGUGGGGAUCAAACAGGAUUAGAUACCCUGGUAGUCCACGCCGUAAACGAUGAGUGCUAAGUGUUAGGGGGUUUCCGCCCCUUAGUGCUGCA
rnacentral:rRNA from 1 species